AUAGAAUAACAAGAUGCGUAACGCCA
rnacentral:piRNA from 1 species